GUUCAGUGAUAUAUUGCCAACACAUCAUUCUGAAGAAAACUGUGGUGACUUCUGUGACUGAGUAUA
rfam:Canis lupus familiaris chromosome 11, whole genome shotgun sequence.